AGAGAGAGACAUGCGCGCAUAUCAAUAAGCGGAGGAAAAGAAACUAACAAGGAUUCCCUUAGUAACGGCGAGUGAAGCGGGAAGAGCUCAAAUUUGAAAUCUUCAAGGUUUUACCUUGACGAAUUGUAGUUUAAAGAAGUGUUUUCUGCUGAAGUUUUGGUAAAAGUUCUUUGGAAUAGGACAUCAUAGAGGGUGAGAAUCCCGUAUUUGACCAUUAUUUUCAGCUUUGUGAUACACUUCCAAAGAGUCGGAUUGUUUGGGAAUGCAGUCCAAAAUGGGUGGUAAAUUUCAUCUAAAGCUAAAUAUUGGCGAGAGACCGAUAGCGAACAAGUACCGUGAGGGAAAGAUGAAAAGAACUUUGAAAAGAGAGUUAAACAGUACGUGAAAUUGUCAAAAGGGAAGCGUUUGACACCAGUGUUGUUUUCUCGAAAAUCAAUUAAAAAUGGCUCGAUUUUGUAUUGCUGAGACCUUAAAAGCUCACUGUACAUUUUCCGUGUCUUUUUUAAUGCACUUUUCGUUUAACAAGUCAACAUCAGUUUCUUUUGUUGUAAAAGGGUCAUUGGAAGGUGGCUUUCUUUUCGGAGAAAGUGUUUAUAGCCUUUGGCCUCUGCAAUCGGAGAGACUGAGGUCUGCAGCGUAGACUCUUCGGGGUUAGAUACAUUUGUGCUAAGUUAUAGCUUUUUAUAGACAACUUGUUGACUAUAAUUAGUCUUGUAGCUUACUCGCUUAUGCUAUUUUACCUACGCUUAGGAUGUUGAAGAUGUAGCACAUCAU
rnacentral:rRNA from 1 species